rfam:Micromonospora aurantiaca ATCC 27029, complete genome.
CUUGAUCGAGCCGAGCAGCAGCGGCUCGUGUCCCUCGCGGCCCUGCCCGUAGGUCGCCAGCAGGGCCUGCGCCUC